GGGAUAUUGGACAAUGGGGGGAACCCUGAUCCAGCGACGCCGCGUGAGUGAAGAAGUAUCUCGGUAUGUAAAGCUCUAUCAGCAGGGAAGAUAAUGACAGUACCUGACUAAGAAGCACCGGCUAAAUACGUGCCAGCAGCCGCGGUAAUACGUAUGGUGCAAGCGUUAUCCGGAUUUACUGGGUGUAAAGGGAGCGUAGGCGGUCUGCCAAGUCUGAUGUGAAAGCCCGGGGCUCAACCCCGGGACUGCAUUGGAAACUAUGUAACUAGAGUACCGGAGAGGUAAGCGGAAUUCCUAGUGUAGCGGUGAAAUGCGUAGAUAUUAGGAGGAACACCAGUGGCGAAGGCGGCUUACUGGACGGAAACUGACGUUGAGGCUCGAAAGCGUGGGGAGCAAACA
rnacentral:rRNA from 1 species